UGAGUACGAGAUGCCACGGCAUCGAAGCAGUCUAUGUCAUACUUCCAAGAAAAGCUUGCACUGUCAUAAACAAAUAAUGCCUGUACCAUAACCGACACAGGCGGGUAGGUAGAGUAUACUAAGGGGCGCGAGAUAACUCUCUCUAAGGAACUCGGCAAAAUGACUCCGUAACUUCGGGAGAAGGAGUGCCUUAUUUUUAAGGUUGCAAUAACAAGAUCCAAGCAACUGUUUAUCAAAAACACAGGUCUCCGCUAAGUCGUAAGACGAUGUAUGGGGGCUGACGCCUGCCCAGUGCCAGAAGGUUAAAGAAGUUGGUUAGCACUAGCGAAGCUGAUAACUGAAGCCCUGGUGAACGGCGGCCGUAACAAUAACGGUCCUAAGGUAGCGAAAUUCCUUGUCGGGUAAGUUCCGACCCGCACGAAAGGCGUAAUGAUUUGGAUGCUGUCUCGGAGAGGGGCUCGGUGAAAUAGACUUGUCUGUGAAGAUGCGGACUACCUGCACCAGGACAGAAAGACCCUAUGAAGCUUUACUGUAACUUGAAAUUGAAAUUGGACUUUACUUGCGCAGUAUAGGUGGGAGGCGUUGAAGAUAUUCUUGCGGGAGUAUUGGAGCCAUCAGUGAGAUACCACUCUUGUAAUGUUAGAUUUCUAACUUUGUAUCAUUAUCUGGUCAAAGAACAGUUUCAGGCGGGCAGUUUGACUGGGGCGGUCGCCUCCCAAACGGUAACGGAGGCGCACAAAGGUUUCCUCUGAACGGGUAGAAAUCGUAUCUAGAGUGUAAAGGCAUAAGGAAGCUUGACUGUGAGACCUACAAGUCGAGCAGGGACGAAAGUCGGUCUUAGUGAUCUGACGGUGCUGAGUGGAAAGGCCGUCACUCAACGGAUAAAAGUUACUCUAGGAUAACAGGCUGAUCUCCCCCAAGAGUUCACAUCGACGGGGAGGUUUGGCACCUCGAUGUCGGCUCAUCGCAUCCUGGGGCGGUAGUACGUCCCAAGGGUUGGGCUGUUCGCCCAUGAAAGCGGUACGCGAGCUGGGUUCAGAACGUCGUGAGACAGUUCGGUCCAUAUCCGGUGUAGGCGUUAGAAUAUUGAGAGGAGCCUUCUUUAGUACGAGAGGACCGAGAAGGACAUACCUCUGGUGUACCAGUUAUCGUGCCAACGGUAAACGCUGGGUAGCUAUGUAUGGAGAGGAUAACCGCUGAAAGCAUCUAAGUGGGAAGCCCACCUCAAGAUAAGUAUUCUCAAAAAG
rnacentral:rRNA from 1 species